CCAAAUUGUUAAAAUAGGCAUGACGUUUCCUUUGCCUUGGGCAGUUGGCCUGGGCACAUUGCAGGUGCUCCAAGGCUAAAUUUUCCCGUGGUAUCCACUUGUGUUCCAUGUACCCAGUUGUCUCUACGUCAGCUCUCGCAGUUAUUAAGAGGUAGCCCAAACACUUGCCCAUGUCCACAUGUCCAAUGUAAACUCAUGAAGAGCGACUGGAGGCUAAUAUCAUGGAUAGACUGGGACUGGAAUCACAGGUGGUCAUGCACUAACCUAAUCCAGGGAUAGCAUCUGCCUCUCUCUUGCUCUGUAGGCUGACGUCCAAAACACUGCUCAUCUUCUGCUGGCCUCCAGCACCUAUACAUGGCUUACAGCAGAGGGACUUUUAAGUCCAUAACACCAAAACUAGAACAGUUCUCAGUUGGAGGUUUCCUUACCAAAGGAGCCAUACUGCUAUAGCAGAACCUUUUAAAAGUACCAUCUGCUGGAUUCUUCUGCCAUGGACACUGAUGUCUGGGGUAAUGGAGAGACUGUCCGUCCAAAGGGUUCAAGACCUCCAAACAUCAUGAGACAGAUUGGACUCACGUCAAGUCCGUGCCAUAACUGAGCAUGCAUUUAUCUGUGUCUCAUACUCUCUUCCUUCAUCCGUGAGGCUUCAAUGCAUCCAUUUCCUCUUUUAACUGUUUUAUCUGGCAAGACUUCAUGUUGUUUGCUUAUUUGCAACCAUCCAAAAGAUUCUUGGAUAUUUAGGAGAAUUUACAACUAGGUUAAAACUUCAAAAGUGGUCAGCCAAUAGUGCUGUUGACAAGUGCAGUUGGGUGGUUCAUUUGGGUGUAUUUCCACAGAGGCGAAGCUUACACCCAGCUGAGCUUCACACUCCCUCUGCCCUGGGCUUCAGCCUCUCAUUAUAGGUCUUUCCUGCAGCCUUCUGGCUAUAGAAACACAUUUUCUGCUCCAAUGAUCAAAGACACCAAAGACACCAAAAGUGGGGAAAAACAUCAGUUUUUCAAAACGUCAUUUUUUCACUUUACAUUUUUAUGCAUAGCCACCAUGCUAGACCUUAACAUUGAGUUUGUCAGUCACAGCACAAAGGGGCGGCUCAACAAAGGCUGCAAGACUGAAAAGAGGCCAGUCUAAACUGCUACACUAAAUAUGGAUAAUCGUUUUCUCCCGGUGGCUCAAACAACAUUAAGGAGGUCUUCAUUAGUGGUUUUAACCAGGGCUUCUACAUGGAGUGUGUUUGGCCACCACCUGCUCCAUUAGUCUCUUUCCUGGCCCUACCAGGUUUUGUGUCCACUCAGUUUUAUGUGAAGAGCCGGAAGAACAUUACUGACCUGAAACUAAUAUGCCUCUAUUAUAAAACACUUUCAAAAUAAACAAUUAAAAGAAAGAAACAAAGAAAGAAAACAUUAAAAUCUUAAAUAAUACAAUAAAAAAUGUUAAAUUAAAGAAUGUCUUCUUUAUAAAAAAGAAAAAACAGUCUGUACUGCAGAACUUGAGUUUAU
ensembl:lncRNA